UAAAAACUUCGGUAGGUGAGGUUACCAUAGGGAUUAGGAUUCAUUUCCUGAGAUUGCUGCCGCGAAAAAAGUGGAGACACUUUCGAGUUGGUUAGCAGGCGUUGUCGAGAUAAGGCACCACCUAAUGCAAUUUUAUAUGCCCUAUGAUACUAAAGCUCAAACGAUGGAAUCAUAG
rnacentral:sRNA from 2 species